rnacentral:rRNA from 1 species
AGAACGAACGCUGGCGGCAUGCCUAACACAUGCAAGUCGAACGGGACCUUCGGGUCUAGUGGCGCACGGGUGCGUAACGCGUGGGGAUCUGCCCUUAGGUACGGAAUAACUCAGGGAAACUUGAGCUAAUACCGUAUAAUGACUUCGGUCCAAAGAUUUAUCGCCUAGGGAUGAACCCGCGUAGGAUUAGCUUGUUGGUGAGGUAAAGGCUCACCAAGGCGACGAUCCUUAGCUGGUCUGAGAGGAUGAUCAGCCACACUGGGACUGAGACACGGCCCAGACUCCUACGGGAGGCAGCAGUGGGGAAUAUUGGACAAUGGGCGAAAGCCUGAUCCAGCAAUGCCGCGUGAGUGAUGAAGGCCUUAGGGUUGUAAAGCUCGUUUUACCCGGGAUGAUAAUGACAGUACCGGGAGAAUAAGCUCCGGCUAACUCCGUGCCAGCAGCCGC